CGUGGGAUGCCGAAGUCGGGUCCCGCGUGACACAACUCGCUGAAUUUCAGGAGAUUUAAACAUGAGC
rnacentral:sRNA from 1 species